UCUUGAGGCAUGACAAAACCAAGAAAGCAGCAUCAUAUGUCUGCUUUGCUGUGUCAUGCCACUUUACGACCAGCAGCAAAAUCAAGGUUCAAAUAUGGUAUCAUCCCCAAGAGAGUCCAAAGUUUCAAUACCAAUACACCCACACAUAAGCCGCACCUCUUAUCAAACCCUGUCUUCCAUCUUCCUUAUGGCUUUCUCUAUGGCAGGGAUGUUCUUCUUUAAGGCUGACCAUUGCUCCUCCUUCAGACUUAUCCCUUUAGAAGUAGGAAGCUCUUUCCCAUCUUUCUUGUAGAAUUCCCUUAUUGAUACCAAGGUUGUUCCCCUGAAGUUCUGAAUCGUCACCUUCCUCUUAUCCGAUAGCCUGCAAACGAUAAGGUCACCGUCUUCAUCGAACUCUUGUUCGUUGCUCUUGUCUCCUUCUUCCUCUUUGGCUCUCUGCUCUUCUAGGAAAGUAUUGACAACGUGGCGUACAAAGGCCCUGUAUUCGGAUAUAUCGAGGUUGAGGUCGAGCUUCUUGGAGGCCAUCUUCCGAAUCUGGUACUCCGUGGUGGAUUCCAUGUCAGAUUCUUGGAGGAUUUCCCUAACUGUUUGCUCGAUUUUUAUUUUCAAUUUGGGUUCCAUUUUGGAUUUCUGAUUAUGUGAUGGUGGCAGUACCAAUUAGGGAAAUUGUGCGUUCUGAUGUUUGGGGUUUUUCCUUCUUUUACUGUACUGACUGACUCAUGAGAAAGAAAUUUGCUGCUGCUGAGGUAUACGAGUGUCUCUUUCGGGUAAACCUGGCCGGGGCAGCGAUGGUUCAGACCCUGAAUUUGAUCGAUUUAUUCAAAUUCGGACUAAUUUUAGCUAUAUGUUUUAUGGCUUGGAAUCCGCCCAAGUCGAUGAGUCCAGACGGUCGGCUUUGAUUCCUUAUUUUAG
rnacentral:misc_RNA from 1 species